rnacentral:rRNA from 1 species
AACGAACGCUGGCGGCAUGCCUAACACAUGCAAGUCGAACGAGACCUUCGGGUCUAGUGGCGCACGGGUGCGUAACGCGUGGGAACCUGCCCUUAGGUUCGGAAUAACUCCCCGAAAGGGGUGCUAAUACCGGAUAAUGUCUUCGGACCAACGAUUUAUCGCCUUUGGAUGGGCCCGCGUUGGAUUAGCUAGUUGGUAGGGUAAAAGCCUACCAAGGCGACGAUCCAUAGCUGGUCUGAGAGGAUGAUCAGCCACACUGGGACUGAGACACGGCCCAGACUCCUACGGGAGGCAGCAGUGGGGAGUAUUGGACAAUGGGCGAAAGCCUGAUCCAGCAAUGCCGCGUGAGUGAUGAAGGCCUUAGGGUUGUAAAGCUCUUUUACCCGGGAUGAUAAUGACAGUACCGGGAGAAUAAGCUCCGGCUAACUCCGUG